UACGUAGGGGGCAAGCGUUGUCCGGAUUUAUUGGGCGUAAAGCGCGCGCAGGCGGUUGUUUAAGGCGGGUGUCUAAACCUUGGGCUCAACCUGGGGACGCAUCCGAAACUGGGCAACUGGAGUGUAGGAGAGGAAAGUGGAAUUCCACGUGUAGCGGUGAAAUGCGUAGAGAUGUGGAGGAACCCCAGUGGCGAAGGCGGCUUUCUGGUCUGUAACUGACGCUGAGUCGCGAAAGCGUGGGGAGCAAACAGG
rnacentral:rRNA from 1 species